AUUGAACGCAGGCGGCACGCCUAACACAUGCAAGUCGAGCGGUGCGGCGGACGGGGGAGUAAUGCCUAGGACUCGGCCGGGUAGUGGGGGAUAACGUCCGGAACCGGGCGCUGAUCCAGCAUACUAUCGGCUGAGCGUAGGUCGGGUUAGCUAGUUGGUGGGGUAAAGCGCUACCAAGGCGACGAUCCGUACCUGGUCUGAUAGGAUGAUCAGUCCGACGGGAACUGAGACACGGUCCAGACUCCUACGGGAGGCGGGAGUGGGGAAGAUUGGACAAUGGGCGAAAGCCUGAUCCAGCCAUGCCGCGGGUGUGAAGAAGGUCUUCGGAUUGUAAAGCACUUUAAGUUGGGAGGCGUUACCAACAGAAUAAGCACCGGCUAACUUCGUGCCAGCCGCCGCGGUAAUUC
rnacentral:rRNA from 1 species